GACAGAGGGUGCGAACGUUGUUCGGAAUUACUGGGCGUAAAGCGCGUGUAGGCGGCAAUGCAAGUCGGGCGUGAAAUCCCACGGCUCAACCGUGGAAGUGCAUUCGAAACUGCAGGGCUAGAGUCCUGGAGAGGAAGGUGGAAUGCUUGGUGUAGAGGUGAAAUUCGUAGAUAUCAAGCGGAACACCGGUGGCGAAGGCGGCCUUCUGGACAGUGACUGACGCUGAGACGCGAAAGCGUGGGGAGCAAACAGG
rnacentral:rRNA from 1 species